rnacentral:tRNA from 1 species
GGCUUCGGAGCCCAGCUGGUAGAGCGCUCGCCACGUUGAGGCAUUAUGUUUCUAUCGCUGGUUCGAAUCCAGCCGAAGCCC